rnacentral:rRNA from 1 species
GAUGAACGCUAGCUACAGGCCUAACACAUGCAAGUCGAGGGACCGGCGCACGGGUGAGUAACGCGUAUCCAACCUGCCCCACGGUGAGGGAUAACCCGCGGAAACGCGGCCUAAUACCUCAUGGUGGGAUGGGGAUGCGUCUGAUUAGCUUGUUGGCGGGGCAACGGCCCACCAAGGCUACGAUCAGUAGGGGUUCUGAGAGGAAAGCCCCCCACAUUGGAACUGAGACACGGUCCAAACUCCUACGGGAGGCAGCAGUGAGGAAUAUUGGUCAAUGGGCGAGAGCCUGAACCAGCCAAGUAGCGUGCAGGAAGACGGCCUAUGGGUUGUAAACUGCUUUUGCGCGGGGAUAGGUACCGCGCGAAUAAGGACCGGCUAAUUCCGUGCCAGCAGCCGCGGUAAUACGGAAGGUCCGGGCGUUAUCCGGAUUUAUUGGGUUUAAAGGGAGCGUAGGCCGUGAGGUAAGCGUGUUGUGAAAUGUAGGCGCCCAACGUCUGCACUGCAGCGCGAACUGCCCCACUUGAGUGCGCGCAACGCCGGCGGAACUCGUCGUGUAGCGGUGAAAUGCUUAGAUACGACGAAGAACCCCGAUUGCGAAGGCAGCUGGCGGGAGCGUAACUGACGCUGAAGCUCGAAAGCGCGGGUAUCGAACAGGAUUAGAUACCCUGGUAGUCCGCGCGGUAAACGAUGGAUGCCCGCUGUGGGCGCGGCUAAGCGAAAGCAUUAAGCAUCCCACCUGGGAGUACGCCGGCAACGGUGCAACUCAAAUGAAUUGACGGA